UUGGGAAUCUUGCACAAUGGGGGAAACCCUGAUGCAGCGACGCCGCGUGGAGGAUGAAGGAUCUAGGUCUGUAAACUCCUUUUGUUGGGAAAGACUUAGGACGGUACCCAACGAAUAAGGACCGGCUAACUACGUGCCAGCAGCCGCGGUAAGACGUAGGGUCCAAGCGUUGUCCGGAUUUACUGGGCGUAAAGAGCGCGUAGGCGGCUUGUUAAGUGUGAAGCUAAAUCUCCAGGCUCAACCUGGAAAUCAUUUCGCAUACUGGCGAGCUAGAGGAAUGCAGAGGUGAAUGGAAUUCCUGGUGUAGCGGUGAAAUGCGUUGAUAUCAGGAGGAACACCCAUGGCGAAGGCAGUUCACUGGGCAUUAUCUGACGCUGAGGCGCGAAAGCGUGGGUAGCAAACAGGAUUAGAUACCCCGGUAGUCC
rnacentral:rRNA from 1 species